GGGCUAUUAGCUCAGUUGGUUAGAGCGCACCCCUGAUAAGGGUGAGGGCCUUGGUUCGAAUCCAUGAUAGCCUA
rnacentral:tRNA from 1 species